UGUUAAGAGUUCAAGUGUAUACCAUGC
rnacentral:piRNA from 1 species